ACGCUGGCGGCAGGCCUAACACAUGCAAGUCGAGCGGCAGCACGGGUACUUGUACCUGGUGGCGAGCGGCGGACGGGUGAGUAAUGCCUAGGAAUCUGCCUGGUAGUGGGGGAUAACGUUCGGAAACGGACGCUAAUACCGCAUACGUCCUACGGGAGAAAGCAGGGGACCUUCGGGCCUUGCGCUAUCAGAUGAGCCUAGGUCGGAUUAGCUAGUUGGUGAGGUAAAGGCUCACCAAGGCUACGAUCCGUAACUGGUCUGAGAGGAUGAUCAGUCACACUGGAACUGAGACACGGUCCAGACUCCUACGGGAGGCAGCAGUGGGGAAUAUUGGACAAUGGGCGAAAGCCUGAUCCAGCCAUGCCGCGUGUGUGAAGAAGGUCUUCGGAUUGCAAAGCACUUUAAGUUGGGAGGAAGGGCAGUUACCUAAUACGUGAUUGUUUUGACGUUACCGACAGAAUAAGCACCGGCUAACUCUGUGCCAGCAGCCGCGGUAAUACAGAGGGUGCAAGCGUUAAUCGGAAUUACUGGGCGUAAAGCGCGCGUAGGUGGUUUGUUAAGUUGAAUGUGAAAUCCCCGGGCUCAACCUGGGAACUGCAUCCAAAACUGGCAAGCUAGAGUAUGGUAGAGGGUGGUGGAAUUUCCUGUGUAGCGGUGAAAUGCGUAGAUAUAGGAAGGAACACCAGUGGCGAAGGCGACCACCUGGACUGAUACUGACACUGAGGUGCGAAAGCGUGGGGAGCAAAC
rnacentral:rRNA from 1 species